AAUCUUCAAAACCCCUUUUCUUCAAUCCAUCUUGGUUCGGGAAAAAGGGACUUUUGGACUUGGAGGUUCAAUGCUUGCCCUUCUUUUUGAAAGCAAGCUCCUCUCAAAUAAAUUAGUGGGGUUCGCUUUGCUGAUCCUCGACGUGAUAAGAUGUUUCUACGUUUUGGGUUCAGCACUGUCCCUUGGACGCCCGCUCCUAACUGUCUCAUGGACAACGAUGGUGCUCUGGUCACCGCCGUCUACAUCGGCGCGAGGCUGGGCCCACAAAAAGAAAACC
rnacentral:misc_RNA from 1 species